GUUUUGUGAACGUUAAUAUGAUUACGAUAAGAACUGUAUCAUUUGCAGGAUUUAUGUCAUAGGCAAUAACAACAGACUCCAUGUGUGCUUUAGCUGUAAUCACCCACAAAAUCCUCCCCAAAAUCCCAAAACAACACUUGGUACACUAACUUCAGCAACCUAAGAGGAAGUUGAUAGGAAUACAUCUCGCUUAGACGACAUAUAGCACAUGUACAGUUUACUAAUGUGAAUUAAGGCUCCGUCAAGCUCAGCUGACACGAAUACAGACCUAAAGUGACAGCAGAGGAGCUUCGAAUGGUCGCUACAACCAGGGGCAUGUAAACAAAACGGCCAAACACUGCAAUGAUAGUUCCAGACAGACAAGAAUAACACUUCCUGAAAUGUAGCCAAGACGGCCGACAUCCAAGCAAAAACACCACCAGAAUUUCAUCAAGCUAUGGAAAUGUGAAGGACACGAAGACCACAAACCCCUGCAGCUGGUCUAGAAGAUAACUUUGCUAUGGCUGAGAUAAGUUAGCCAAACGACGCAUACCAUGCUAGCAAGCUAUCAGUUAAACAAGGGCGAUCUACCAGGUGUCCCAGGGAACCCCACGACCGCCAUUGUGCAUGGAACUGGCCCGGAGCCAGGGCUGAAUCAGAUCCCUAUCAACGGCUGGAAGACAUUAGGGGAAGCACAUGUGUCAAAUAGAUUUUGUCAAGGACCAGUGCACCAAAAACACCACCAUUUACCAAAGACCAACAAUAUUAUGAACACUGAUGGUAUGUAAGGCACGUCAGAUUUUGUUAUGAUAAAGACUCUUGUGCACAG